AAGGAGGAGGGGUGUGCCAUGUGAGGGCAGUCUGGUUCGUCGAUCCCGGCAGGCAGUGUGCUUCUCCCAGAAACCAUGGCGUUGGGGACGGAGCAGCACCCGCUUGAUGUGACCACGUGCACGCCCCUGAGGGCGAGCAAGACCUAUUUCUAUGACGCCAAGAUUGUGCAUGAAAACAAUCUGUAUUUAUGCUCCCAGUGAUCACAAAAGGCACAGAUCUGGAUUUUUCAGAACACAUUGUAUGGCAGUGAUCACUGAUUGGCUGUAUGGCCGGCUGCUUCAUCCGUAUCCAGGAGAAAAGCUUGAUAGCCUAAUAGAUCUAGGGCCGGAAAGGAAUAUAUCAGAUCAAUACAUCGUAGAGGAAUUUGGGAAAAGGCAGCGAUUUGUAUCUACUGACGAGAAAAGGUAAGCAGGUAAGCAAUUGGUUUGAUCGUGUUGGGAAAGUAUUGGUCAAAAAGAAUAUGAAUGACAGCACAAGAAAAGGUGACCAUGACAUGGAGAAACACAUUUUUCAAGUCUGCCUACUUGGCGAGCGCAACGGCAGCCGUACCGCCAUCGCCUGACACCCUCAAUAUUGGUUGGAUAUGCUCUAUGUAGAGGUCCCUCAAGAAGCAGUAUGUCGCUUAUGGUGUUCAUGAAGUGACUCCUAAUAAUGAGCAAGACGGCAAAUCUGAUCUCAGAGAAGCUGAAUAACAAAGGAGCAACUGGAGAAGGUUCUCAAGGCUGGUGCUAACGUUGUAUUUACCACCAAAGGGAAUCAAUGAUAUGUCAUUGAAGGUGCUUUUUAUUAACUCGGGCAGAAAUGAUUGUUGUUC